UACGGAAGGCAGCAGUGGGGAAUAUUGCACAAUGGGCGCAAGCCUGAUGCAGCCAUGCCGCGUGUAUGAAGAAGGCCUUCGGGUUGUAAAGUACUUUCAGUCGUGAGGAAGGUGUUAAGGUUAAUAACCUUAGCAAUUGACGUUAGCGACAGAAGAAGCACCGGCUAACUCCGUGCCAGCAGCCGCGGUAAUACGGAGGGUGCGAGCGUUAAUCGGAAUUACUGGGCGUAAAGGGCACGCAGGCGGUUAAUAAGUUGGAUGUGAAAUCCCCGGGCUUAACCUGGGAAUGGCAUUCAAGACUGGUUAGCUAGAGUCUUGUAGAGGGGGUAGAAUUCCAUGUGUAGCGGUGAAAUGCGUAGAGAUGUGGAGGAAUACCGGGUGGCGAAGGCGGCCCCUGGGACAAAGGACUGGACGCUCAUGUGCGAAAGCGUGGGGAGCAAACAGGAUUAGAUACC
rnacentral:rRNA from 1 species